UACCAGCUCUCCGAGUGGUAGGGAUGAUUAUUGGGCUUAAAGCGUCCGUAGCCGGCUUAGCAAGUUUCCUGUUAAAUUCAGCGACCUAAUCGUUGAGCCGCGGGAAAUACUACUAGGCUAGGAGGCGGGAGAGGUCGACGGUACUUCUGGGGUAGGGGUGGAAUCCUAUAAUCCCGGGAGGACCACCAGUGGCGAAGGCUGUCGACUAGAACGCGCUCGACGGUGAGGGACGAAAGCUGGGGGAGCGAACCGGAUUAGAUACCCGGGUAGUCCCAGCUGUAAACGAUGCGGGCUAGGUGUUGGGGUGGCUACGUGCCACUUCAGUGCCGCAGGGAAGCCAUUAAGCCCGCCGCCUGGGGAGUACGGCCGCAAGGCUGGAACUUAAAGGAAUUGGCGGGGGAGCACCACAAGGCGUGAAGCUUGCGGUUC
rnacentral:rRNA from 1 species